GACGAACGCUGGCGGCGUGCUUAACACAUGCAAGUCGAACGGAAAGGCCUGCUUUCCCUUGUGGAUUGCGGGUACUCGAGUGGCGAACGGGUGAGUAACACGUGAGUGAUCUGCCCCCAACUUGGGUAUAAGCCUGGGAAACUGGGUCUAAUUCCCGAUAGGACUGCAGGGUGGUGCCUGUGGUGGAAAACGAUUUUCUAGUGGUUGGGGAUGAGCUCGCGGCCUAUCAGCUUGUUGGUGGGGUAAUGGCCUACCAAGGCGGCGACGGGUAGCCGGCCUGAGAGGGUGGACGGCCACAGUGGGACUGAGAGACGGCCCAGACUCCUACGGGAGGCAGCAGCGGGGAAUAGUGCACAAUGGGCGGAAGCCUGAUGCAGCGACGCCGCGUGGGGGAUGACGGCCUUCGGGUGGUAAACUCCUUUCGACCGCGAGGAAGCCACCUGGUUGGAAGGGUGGUGACGGUAGUGGUAGAAGAAGCACCGGCUAACUACGUG
rnacentral:rRNA from 1 species